UGGGGAAUAUUGGACAAUGGGCGAAAGCCUGAUCCAGCCAUGCCGCGUGUGUGAAGAAGGUCUUCGGAUUGUAAAGCACUUUAAGUUGGGAGGAAGGGCAGUAAGCGAAUACCUUGCUGUUUUGACGUUACCGACAGAAUAAGCACCGGCUAACUCUGUGCCAGCAGCCGCGGUAAUACAGAGGGUGCAAGCGUUAAUCGGAAUUACUGGGCGUAAAGCGCGCGUAGGUGGUUCGUUAAGUUGAAUGUGAAAGCCCCGGGAUCAACCUGGGAACUGCAUCCAAUACUGGCGAGCUAGAGUAGGGCAGAGGGUGGUGGAAUUUCCUGUGUAGCGGUGAAAUGCGUAGCUAUAGGAAGGAACACCAGUGGCGAAGGCGACCACCUGAGCUCAUACUGACACUGAGGUGCGAAAGCGUGGGGAGCAAACAGG
rnacentral:rRNA from 1 species